UCUUGACAUAGACGCGUCUGCUUGUUCGGGUCGUCUGUCUGAUAAAGAAAGAAAAGUUCAUGAAGCACAUAAACUUGCUAUUCAGCCUUCUUUUCAAAGCUGUGGACAUGGUUAUAUUGCUGCAUCAUGUAUUGCUACGAGAUCGUCCCUGACGCCCCAUAUGCUUCCCAGUCCAGUGAUAUCGUGCACGUUACAUGACUGAAGCAGUAUCACCCUCCCAGUGAUGACAUUUCGACGCUCCGAGAUGUCGCUUCUGCCGCCGGGGGAUUAUGCUACACGCGUGCUGUGUUUGGUUGCUUGAAUGAGGCGCGCAGCCGCCAUCACUCGAGAAAAGAGAAGGAAGAACGAACUGGGCUCGUGCUGUGAAUCCAACCGGUCAGCACUGCAACCGUUGUUGUAAAUAUAAUUGUGUAAAUAGUUGCUCGGUCUGAUUGACUCGUCCUUCGUGUAACAAUAUUGUAUAGUUGAAUCAAGGAAUUAUGCCGAUUACAGCAUUCACCAUAUAUGUUCUUAAAUGUCUUGGCUUCAUUGCAGAUUUAUUGCAUUAAUUCAACUUCAUCCUUGUGUACAUGCUACAGUUACGUAAAGCAAUAAGGCUUCCAAAGCUAGGUAGUGCUGCAGACAGUUGUGGACAAAAGAGACACAAAUUCAGCUAUUUUUUAUGCCACAUGGUAGCAGUGCCAAGGAAAUAGACUAUUUUCUUUUUUUUUUUUUAAUUGCUGGCGAGUGUUUGGUGUUCUUUGCUUUAAUUUGUAGUUAUGGAUCUAUUACUUAGGUCAUAACACACAACCUUGACCUACUGUAGUCCUAACGUGGCAAAUUAUUCAUUUUUGUGUGCUCUCUUUGUUGUUUCUUUUCACAGCUGUAAUUAAAAAUAUGGUUAUGUCGAAAGAUUUAUAUACUGCACAUAAUUGUGGAUGUUCCUUUUUGUGUGAUUUUAAUGCUGCCAUACAAGAGAGCUUGUUGCCGUCUCAAAUGCACUGUUUGUCGUCACCAGGAGGGUAGGCCUCAUCAGGCACACACAGCUUUUAGCCUCCCUCCUGAUGUGGUGAUGUGGCGAUGCGGUAUGUGAAAAGUGAAUCUCGCAAUAAACUUUCAAACUCUUUCAUUAACAUCAAUCAAUUUGAUAGACAGUUUUGCUAUGCGUUGUUAUACAUUUCUGUUGGAAUUCUUCUGCUAGCAACAUCAUGCACCCUCUGAAAUGAUGACUGUACUUUAGCUAUUUGUCAAAUUUGGCAAUUUUUGGCACAUUGGGGAGUCUGGGAAAAUGAAACUUUCACUGGAACUAUCGUCAAUAUUAGGCUCCGGUGCUCUCAGCACUUCUUCAAUAAAAAGACUGAAAAUUUGAGCUUCGGUCAAUUCAGCGGGAUCAUUUCUAAAUGACAGCAGUAGCGAAGACACAGAAGCUUUUCUCGGGUUGUCAUUUUUCUGAUUAGAUAUAUAGGACGUUUUAACGAUGUCUCCAACAAUGGUAGAUGCUCAUGAGUGCGUGCUAUUUUUUAAUUUUGUUCGAGUAAUAUCAUGUGCAACUUUAUUUUACCCCCUGUGUGUUGCUUUUAUCCAUCAGCGACAGCAUAUGUACAAAUUAUUACGAGCAAUACUUCCUGUUGUGUGGGGUUUUCACCCACGCAGGAGCACUCAGUCUAUUACAGACCGGCCUUCGACCAAACCUUGACUAGCUGUCUAAGCUCUUAUAUUUUGAACACCGCCUGUUCACGUGCCCUUAUUCAUUACUGUACAAUAUUGUGCAACAUUCCACAUUACUGUACAGCAUUGUACAGCAACUGAACAAUGCAUGUGGAAGCUCCAGUGCCAGCUGAAUCCCCACUAGACCACCUUGCUUGCCCAGAAAAGCUGAUCGAACAGAAUAAUCAAGUAUGAAGAUUCUUCUGCAUGCUCCCUGACCUAACACCCAUUGCUUGGCGAGUCUAAAGAAUGCUGUAAAACAGGAACCAUGGGCCUGUUGCAAUUAGUAAAAACAGAUGCUCCUUGUACAAUUGGAACUUACCCGUUUUCACAUUUGCAAAGCUACUGCUUUCCUGCAUAGCACAAAAAUCACUACGGCUAGUACUGAUGCCAAUACAACUGCGUAACAAUAAAUCAGCAAUAAAGCAAUAAAUCUGCGUAACAAUCUUUUUGCAUGGUAGGCCUCAUCAGGCACACACAGCUUUUAGCCUCCCUCCUGAUGUGGUGAUGUGGCGAUGCGGUAUGUGAAAAGUGAAUCUCGUAAUAAACUUUCAAACUCUUUCAUUAACAUGCCUAUAGAAAUCAAUCAAUUUGAUAGACAGUUUUGCUAUGCGUUGUUAUACAUUUCUGUUGGAAUUCUUCUGCUAGCAACAUCAUGCACCCUCUGAAAUGAUGACUGUACUUUAGCCAUUUGUCAAAUUUGACAAUUUUUGGCACAUUGGGGAGUCUGGGAAAAUGAAACUUUCACUGGAACUAUCGUCAAUAUUAGGCUCCGGUGCAGAAGUUAGGAUCUAAGAGCCAGGUGCAUAUUUUGUAGAUUUCAGAUUUUUUUAUUCUGAGCACUUAUAUAAAAAUAGCACAUUCCUUGAGACAUUUUUUUGAAGUUUCACAUAAAAAUUCUCAAAAAUUGAAUUGUCUGACCAAUUAUUACUACUAUACAUCCAUUCAAAACACCAGUGAUCAGGCUAUAAUUUUAUGUAUCGCAGUAUUUGUUGAGACUAUGUCCUGAAAUCAAAUGUUAAAACAUAAAAACACCGAAAAUGAGACAUUUCUCAUGGUAACGAAAGAGUUAACCCUGUGGCUAGCUCACAUGCCUCACACAGAGCAAAUAAAGCCUUGACCACGGGCUUUUAGCUUCAGUCACUGUCAAAGUAUGAUAAAUAUUGCAGCAGUUACUCGCGCUUCAUUUUGAAAUCAAAUUAUUGCUUUAUAUGUAACAGUGAUAUUAUCUCCCUAAAGUGAGAAUUGAAACACCAGCAGCUUUCUGAUACACUAUACAUUAUUCAAUUCCUUGUUGCAAUGAUCAUUUUGCUUACCAAGUGAAUUAUGUGUGUCAUAGUACUUCUCAUUGGGGUGCAAACAUAAAUAUAUGUAAUGUCCGUAAGAAGAUGCAAGCACUUGUAAAAUAAUUUGCAUUUGAAAAGUUGUUUUAUGCUAAUUAUGCUGUUGGAAACAAGAUAAUGCAGGAACAUAUGUCGCCUUUCCUGUCACUCAUACACAUUUGUUUGGGACACACAUGUGUAUUCCUAUUACAGAGAGGUG